GUAUCAUAAUACCGAGGGCUAUAUAAAGACGUAAGUGCCAUUACAUUCAGUUUUACAUGGCAUUAAAUACGCCGCCAGCUUCGUUCGUUUAGGUUGGCUUGUUUGAUAUGCCCGUUGGAUAGUAAAUACGUUUUCUACUGUUUUUGUUUAAUGUUUUAAACGUCCCCUUUGGACAAAGCCUUAAGUUUCUUCUUAACUAACGUUAUAUGACGACAUUUACGUUACUUCAAAGCCCAGUUAACUGUUAACUUAAAACGAGAUUAAUGUAAGUUAAAGUAAAUGCAUUCUUUGCAUUUUCAGAUUAUUAAAAUGAGAUUUUUGACAAUUACAGCCCGUAACAAAUCUCUGGUAAUUAAUUUCUGAAAACCAUUUUUUGUACACGAACAGUUAAAGCAGCCCAUCCCCCGCUGUACAGCAGUGCUGCUGGGUCAAAACAACCCAUUUGCUGGAUCAUCUGUCGCGGGGAUUUUGGAUCGUCAGAAGGAGAAAUACAGCAGGACUUUACAAGCAGACAUUCUUCAGCGGUUCUUUUCUGGUGAAAUAAAGGGGUGGCGAAUGUCGGUCCUGGAGAGCCGCAGUCCUGCAGAGUUUAGCUCCAGCUCUAAUCAAACACACCUGAACAGGUGGUCUGAGUUUCCAUGAGUUUCCUCGGCUAACUACCCCAGGCAUGAUUGCACAAGACUUUUACACAUUACACCAGGAUGCAGCUCCAAAACUCUUCGAGAAAUGGCUCCCUUGAUAUACCGAUAGGAUCUUGCAUUUUUCUAAACCAGAAGCAAAGCUUCCAUGUUCAGUUGAGGAGAUGACACAAGAUGCAAAGGGAUAUCUUGCAUUAAAGCUGCUCCCUGUUUUGCUUCCACCUCCACCCUUCAAAACUGCCAGAAAAAGUCCGGCCCAGCAUUGAUAAUGGCGUACAAAUCAAGAAAUUUAC